UGAGGGGAUAUUGGGCAAUGGGGGAAACCCUGACCCAGCGACGCCGCGUGAGGGAAGACGGUCUUCGGAUUGUAAACCUCUGUCUUUGGGGACGAAGAAGGACGGUACCCAAGGAGGAAGCUCCGGCUAACUACGUGCCAGCAGCCGCGGUAAUACGUAGGGAGCGAGCGUUGUCCGGAAUUACUGGGUGUAAAGGGAGCGUAGGCGGGAUUGCAAGUUGGAUGUGAAAACUGCGGGCUCAACCCGGAGAGUGCAUUCAAAACUGCGAUUCUUGAGUGAAGUAGAGGCAAGCGGAAUUCCUAGUGUAGCGGUGAAAUGCGUAGAUAUUAGGAGGAACACCAGUGGCGAAGGCGGCUUGCUGGGCUUUUGACUGACGCUGAGGCUCGAAAGCAUGGGUAGCAAACAGGAUUAGAUACCC
rnacentral:rRNA from 1 species